AUACGUAGGUGACAAGCGUUAUCCGGAUUUACUGGGCGUAAAGGGCGUGUAGGCGGUCUUGCAAGUCAGAAGUGAAAUUCCUGAGCUCAACUCGGGCGCUGCUUCUGAAACUGCAGGACUUGAGUGCUGGAGGGGAUAGCGGAAUUCCUAGUGGAGCGGUAAAAUGCGCAGAUAUUAGGAAGAACACCGGUGGCGAAGGCGGCUAUCUGGACAGUAACUGACGCUGAGGCGCGAAAGCGUGGGGAGCAAACAGGAUUAGAUACCCGGGUAGGCCACGCCGUAAACGAUGAAUACUAGGUGUAGGGGGUAUCGACUCCCUCUGUGCCGCAGUUAACACAAUAAGUAUUCCGCCUGGGGAGUACGGCCGCAAGGUUGAAACUCAAAGGAAUUGACGGGG
rnacentral:rRNA from 1 species